rnacentral:SRP_RNA from 1 species
ACACGGGCGAGUCUUAUACGACCAGCUCCCUCGGAAUCCCCCAGGGCUUGAUCGCAGCAAGGGUACUUGGUUGUAGCGGUGCGAUAUGAGCAGCUCGCCCACC